GGGCGAGUGGCGAAAUGGCAGACGCGCUGGCUUCAGGUGCCAGUGUUCGUAAGGACGUGGGGGUUCAAGUCCCCCCUCGCCCA
rnacentral:tRNA from 3 species